rnacentral:rRNA from 1 species
UACGUAGGGGCGAGCGUUGUCCGGAUUUACUGGGCGUAAAGGGUGAGUAGGCGGUUGUAUAUGUCAGGUGUAAAAGGCUAUGGCUUAACCAUGGUUAGCACUUGAAACUGUACAACUUGAGUGCAGGAGAGGUAAGUGGAAUUCCUAGUGUAGCGGUGAAAUGCGUAGAUAUUAGGAGGAACACCGGUGGCGAAGGCGACUUACUGGACUGUAACUGACGCUGAGUCACGAAAGCGUGGGUAGCAAACAGGAUUAGAUACCCUGGUAGUCCCUGA